CUGCUUUGUUUACCCAAGCAAGCCUGGGCAAUGGCGGGCGCCCCUCCCCCAGCCUUGCUGCGGCCUUGCAGUUUGAUCUCAGACUGCUGUGCUAGCAAUCAGCGAGACUCCGUGGGCGUAGGACCCUCCUAGCCAGGUGCAAGAUAUAAUCUCGCGGUGCGCCGUUUUUUAAGCCGGUCCGAAAGCGCAAUAUUCGGGUGGGAGAGACCCGAUUUUCCAGUGAGAUGAACCCAGUACCUCAGAUGGAAAUGCAGAAAUCACCCGUCUUCUGCGUCGCUCACGCUGGGAGCUGUAGACCGGAGCUGUUGCUAUUCGGCCAUCUUGGCUCCUCUCCUGCACUGCAAGAAUGGACUAAUACGCUAUGUGAAGACAAAGGGGAUGUCUGCAAGCCAGGACGAGUGCGUCUACCAGAAACUGAGUUCUGCUGGACUUUGAUCUAGGACAUCCAGCCUCCAGAAUGGAAUGUGCCAUAUGUGGAGACCUGCAUGGAAAGGAACUGAGGAUGCUCUCUCACUAAAAGCUAGAAGGAACUGAGGCCCUCAGUCAACAGUCUACAAGACACUGAAUCUUGCCAGCAGCCAAGCAGUGAGCUUGAAAGCAGAUCUAUCAUCAGCUGAACCUUCAGAUGAGACCGCAGCCUAAGCAGAUACCUUGGUUGCAGCCAUGUGAGACAACCUGAAACAGAGGGCACAGCUAAGCCUCAGCCAGGUUCAUGACCCUCUGAGGAAACUGUGAGAAAGCAAAUGUCAUUUUAAGCUAUUUAAUUUUGGAGGUAGUUUAUUACACAACAAUAAAUAACUAUUAUAAUUAUCUUGAGGAUUUAUUUCCUGGGGAGAAUACAUGGAAUUGCAUAUAUAGGUCCUCAUAUGCAGAAUACUGGUACCCUAGAGAUGUUCACCCCAGAGAUGUUUUAGGAACCUGUGAAUAUGUUACAUUAAAUGGCAAAGUUUUCCUGGAUGGUUUAAGUUUAAGAUGGAAAAGUUUUACUGGAUUAUCCAGUGGGUCCAAUCUAGUAACAUGAGUCCUUAAAAAUGGAGAAUAUUUUUUGGCCAUGAUCAGAGAGACAUGUGAUGAUGGAAAAAGUGUCAGAGAUGCAAUGUGAGGGGACUAAAACUGCUGUUGCUGACUUUAAAGAUGGAGAGAGGGGAACCCGAGUCAAGGAAUGCAAAUGGCCUCUGGAAGCUGGAAAAAGCAAGAAAUGGAUUCUCCUUUAGAGCCUGUGGAAUAAAAUGCAGUCAUGCUGACACCUUGAUUUUACCUCAGUGAGACCAAUACUGGAGUAUGACCUUCGGAGCUGAAUAAAAUUAUACGUACACAUCUUAAUUUCUUGGGAUUUGAUUACUUCUUCUGCUUUGAAAUUAGACCAAGUUUAGCCUGCCUUUGCUAUUUUGGCGUAUCUCCAAUUCUUCAUGAUUUUCUCAUGUUGCUAUUUGUGCAGUAGUGGGCUCGAUGGUGGUAUCUCAAAAGCGCAAAGGCCACAUAAGGACAGUGAGAAGGCAGCCACCUGCAAGCCAGGAAGAAAGGUCUCACCAGAUACCAACCCUGCCAGCAUGUUGAUCUUGGACUUCCAGCCUCCAAAACUGUGAGAAGGCCUUCUGCUCACAUGGGCUUCCGUGCACCUGCUUCAGGAGACAGCAACACUUGCGCCCGCACCGCGGCAGGCUCCCAUCACCUGGUGGAUAUGCCGCGCCGAGUCUCAUCACACCUUAGUGAAGGAACACAUGGACCCAUAUGUUAGCGGAUGUAUUUACAUCGUUUUAUACAGAAAGGGGAAGUAUGUUUCACAAUAAAUGUUUGCAUACUUUGGAGCACAUCUUUUUUUUCUUUCAGACAGAAAGAAAGAGACAAAAAGAGCGGGAGAAACUUUGGCUGGAGCCAUUGAUUCUUUAUUCCCUUACAAUGUUUUUAUCACCCAACCUUGAAAAUAGUCUGUGUGUCAGCUGGGCAGGAUCUGUGCUGAGGCUUGCGUCCCUGGGGGCAAAAAAAGGGUAGUGACUUUUAGUUGAAAGAGUCAGGAAGGGAAGAGUCAAUAGUUCAGCGGUAAGUAUUCUGAACCCAGGCAGGGAAACCAAAAUUCAGGGAUACCUGAAGCCCUCAAGCUAAGGGCCAGGAGCUAGGAGCUGAAAGGAUACAGGAGCUAUGUCAUAAAUAAUUUAGGAGGUGGCUAGAUGAUUGCCAGAGUGUCCACAGCAUGCUUUACUUGGCUUUUAUGGAUACAAUGUGCAUAGGUUGCUUUUAGGAACAAUAAAGAAAUGUUUAUUAAACUAAUUAUGAUUCAAUAAUAUUGACAAUAAUGACAAUGUUGAUAGUAUGCAAUAUAAUAAACUGGUGUGCUUUUAUUUCUCCCUUUUCCUGUGCACAUCUGUUUUACUCUGUGACAUUUUUCCAUUUAGACUCAGAAAUAAGAAACCAGUAUUGCUGCAAAGGUAGGCUGUCACUGGAGGAAAUGAAGAUUAAAAAUUAAAAAAUCAAAUUAUAAUUUUUAUAUUUUAAAAAAACAGCUUAGGUGUAACAGAGAAAUACUUGGAAGACGUUAGAGUAUGAGACAAGGAAAAAUUUGCUCCAAACCUCCUCCCGCAUAAUCACCUCUAAUAAACAAAUAUCCUAGACAAAUAUAAUUUUCCAAGCUAGGGGAAAAAAAGAACAGUUGGAGAAUAUAAUGUACAAAAGUUAAUCACCAAAUAAGGCCUGCCCUAUUCCUCUUUCUCCUCCAGCCAUUAUAAGGAACAGGAACCAUAGAAUUCUCUGGUAAAUAUGGAAUCUAGGAGUAGAAGAAACCCAUGCUUAUAUCUUGCCCAUAACUCAGAAAGAAAGCAGAUUCACAGAUGGUGCCCACACCCCAAAGUCAUGGGGAUUGUAGAGUGCAGAAUUAUUCCCCAAGUUCUGUCCUGGUUCUUUAAAUAUAUUUUCAGGAAUCAAUCCUGUACU
rnacentral:lncRNA from 1 species